rnacentral:rRNA from 1 species
GAUGAACGCUGGCGGCGUGCCUAAUACAUGCAAGUCGAGCGAACGGACGAGAAGCUUGCUUCUCUGAUGUUAGCGGCGGACGGGUGAGUAACACGUGGAUAACCUACCUACAAGACUGGGAUAACUUCGGGAAACCGGAGCUAAUACCGGAUAAUAUUUUGAACCGCAUGGUUCAAAAGUGAAAGACGGUCUUGCUGUCACUUAUAGAUGGAUCCGCGCUGCAUUAGCUAGUUGGUAAGGUAACGGCUUACCAAGGCAACGAUGCAUAGCCGACCUGAGAGGGUGAUCGGCCACACUGGAACUGAGACACGGUCCAGACUCCUACGGGAGGCAGCAGUAGGGAAUCUUCCGCAAUGGGCGAAAGCCUGACGGAGCAACGCCGCGUGAGUGAUGAAGGUCUUCGGAUCGUAAAACUCUGUUAUUAGGGAAGAACAUAUGUGUAAGUAACUGUGCACAUCUUGACGGUACCUAAUCAGAAAGCCACGGCUAACUACGUG